GGAUUUUAAGUAAUUGCACAGUUAUAUUAAAUUUGUCUCGUUUCCGUUACAAUGUCUUUUGGCUCCAGGGGUGAUAAGUGCUUGUUUUUUCUGUUUUUAUGUGUAACUUGAUAUAAUGUUAGAUGAACUGUUUUUUGAUUCUCUCUUUCCUUUAUGUUCCUAGUAUGUGAUCAUGAUAUGAGACCUGUAUUGUUGCGUUUGCUUUUAAGGUCCACUGCUGCAGAUACUGGAAUGUUUUAACACAGUGUCUACCCUCCCUUUCAGUCUUUCUCAUUGAAAGAUGUAUUUUCCACAUUUUGUUGUUGUUAGUGGAUACCACAUCUGUGUUCCUCACAGAAAUUAGUGAUUGUGGAAAGAUCUUGGGAGAGGAGAGGCCCACCUGAUUAUGUUCAUAAUUGGACUCUGCUCAUUGUCCUUGAUCUUGGUUGGAAAUGGACACGAUGCCUUGAGUUGAGAAGAGAGAGCUGUGGCCUGAAGGUAAAGGUCAUGAGCAGAGGAAGAUGCAUGAGGUUUGGAAAGCAGAAGUGAGGAAGCCGUGACUGUCAGAUCUUCUGCCCUGUCAGGAGACAGAGAUACAUGGGAACCUGGUGGGCCUGUCACAGCACUUUUCUGACUUCAGGCUCUGCCCAUCUGGAGCAUCCCCAACCACACCCCAUGUUUGAGUACAUGAGUGAGCUGGUUUUCCCAGGAAGACAAGGUCCAGACAUCAAGAAGAAAGGAGAUUCAGCCUCACAAGUCCAAAUGUGGCCAAGGAUGAAAACUAACCAGAAAGGUCCAGAUGGUCAAGGAAAAGAGAUUCAAUCUUCAAGACCAGACACAGGCUGAAGAAGCCAGUCAGCAAGGCCACAUGCUCUCCCUCCCCUACUUAAAACCCCAGCACAUACUCCCCCUCCCUUUCCUAAAACCCCAAAUAAAAUCCCCUUUUUCCCUUGGAGGAGGUGGAUUUGAGUUUUAACUCCCAUCUCCUCGUCUGGCUGCCUUUCAAUAAUAAACCUGUUUCCUUA